UUAGCGGCGAACGGGUGAGGAACACGUGAAGAAUCUGCCCUCCACUUUGGGAUAACACCGGGAAACCGGUGCUAAUACCGAAUAUUGAAACAUAAGUGGCAUCACUGAGUUUUGAAAGAAUUUCGGUGGAGGAUGACUUCGCGGCCUAUCAGCUAGUUGGUGAGGUAAUGGCUCACCAAGGCAACGACGGGUAGCCGGCCUGAGAGGGCGACCGGCCACACUGGGACUGAGACACGGCCCAGACUCCUACGGGAGGCAGCAGUGGGGAAUAUUGGGCAAUGGAGGAAACUCUGACCCAGCGACGCCGCGUGCGGGAUGAAGGCCUUCGGGUUGUAAACCGCUUUCAGUAGGGAAGAAGCGAAAGUGACGGUACCUACAAAAGAAGCACCGGCUAACUAUGUGCCAGCAGCCGCGGUAAUACAUAGGGUGCAAGCGUUGUCCGGAAUUAUUGGGCGUAAAGAGCUCGUAGGUCGUUUGUUACGUCGGAUGUGAAAACCUGAGGCUCAACCUCAGGCCUGCAUUCGAUACGGGCAAACUAGAGUUUGGUAGGGGAGACUGGAAUUCCUGGUGUAGCGGUGGAAUGCGCAGAUAUCAGGAGGAACACCAAUGGCGAAGGCAGGUCUCUGGGCCAAUACUGACACUGAGGAGCGAAAGUCUGGGGAGCGAACAGGAUUAGAUACCCUGGUAGUCCAGACCGUAAACGGUGGGCACUAGUUGUGGGAACCUUCCACGGUUUCUGCGACGCAGCUAACGCAUUAAGUGCCCCGCCUGGGGAGUACGAUCGCAAGAUUAAAACUCAAAGGAAUUGACGGGGCCCCGCACAAGCAGCGGAGCAUGCGGCUUAAUUCGACGCAACGCGAAAGACCUUACCAAGGCUUGACAUAUAGGGAAAAGUGGGCAGAGAUGUCUUGUCCGCAAGG
rnacentral:rRNA from 1 species